AUCCAACGAAAGAUGCAGACUAAAGACAGCAGGAAUCAGCCAAGUCAACGGUAUGGAAGGUCGCCUCGGGCUUUUCCUCUUAUUCUUUUUCUCCCUUUCUCUUUGCCGUCACGUUGAAGACUCUAUAAAAAAAAUCAUGAAUUGUCAAACGGAAAACAGAGCAGUUUUCAUUGCUUCCUCUGACUUUUUUUUCUUUCUUUUCUAUAGAAUAAUUAGUUUUUGUGUCCCGCUUUUCUUUGCAUAUUUUUAGCUUUACAAAAGUUCAGACUUGUUUUCUCGUUCUCUUUUCAUCAUAUUUCUCUCCACCGAUUCUUGUGCAAACUGACAAAGAAGAAUCCCUCUGAUGGCUUUCCUGGUUGUGAGCAGAAGGGAUUAAUUUCGAUUCCGGGGUGGUUGUGUUUCUGCUUUUGAAGCUUUUCAUCUUGCAGUUUCAUAAUUCUGAGACGUGGGUUUCCAGGUGGAUUACGGUCUGGAGUUUGUGUGGAUGACGAAAAGUCAGCUUAAGAAGUUGUAGUCGUUGCUUGUUGUUGGCUUUUUCCCAUGGAUAGGCUUUGCUGCUUCAAUUCUCCUACCCCUCAGGUAACAGACAUUAAUUGAUAAUCUUUAUUUCUAAUUUUGAUGGCUUAUCUUCUCAAAUCCCAAUUGUACUGGUGGAAACUAACACAAAAGGAUACUGAUUCUAUUAGAUCACCCUUAAUUCCUAUAUGAUGGCAUGGUGUUAAGUGCCUUUGAUUUAUAAGCUCUGGGAGAUUUCACUUGACUUGUGAAUGAAA
rnacentral:lncRNA from 1 species